UACGUAGGAUGCGAGCGUUGUCCGGAAUUAUUGGGCGUAAAGCGUCCGCAGGUGGCAGUUCAAGUCUGCUGUCAAAGACCGGGGCUUAACUUCGGAAAGGCAGUGGAAACUGAACAGCUAGAGUAUGGUAGGGGCAGAGGGAAUUCCUGGUGUAGCGGUGAAAUGCGUAGAGAUCAGGAAGAACAUCGGUGGCGAAGGCGCUCUGCUGGACCAUAACUGACACUCGGGGACGAAAGCUAGGGGAGCGAAUGGG
rnacentral:rRNA from 1 species